UGCAGGGGCUUCUGGCAGCAGCAGAGGGAAAGAAUUCUAAUGCAGGAGAUUCCAGGCUCAGUUCAAGGACAAAAAGAUUGCAUUGCCCUUCACACGUUGGGAAGGAGAGUCUAGGAGAGCCUUGAUGUAUCUCUGCUGAGCCUGCUGCAGUCAGAGAGAUUUGACACCCCUGUGGCAUCGCAGGGCUCAAGGGUGAAUUGUUCAUCUCCCCUUCCUAUACACACAGUCUUGUCCCUUGGUUGGACUACCAGAAACAUCAAGGAAGCUGCCUUCCAAUCCUCCCUCCAGGAGAUCUCUUCUGUCCAUGGCCACUGAGUGUCCCUGCAUGGCUGAUCCAAUUCCAGCAUCCCAU